rnacentral:rRNA from 1 species
GUGCUGAGAGUGAUCAACUGGUCAUUAGAGGAGUAAAGUCGUACCAGGUUCCGUAGGUGACCUGCGGAAGGAUCAUA